CGUGUAGGCGGCUUGUUAAGUGUGGUGUGAAAUCUCCAGAGCUCAACUCGGAAACUGCACCGCAUACUGGCAAGCUUGAGGAAUGCAGAGGUAGCUGGAAUUCCUGGUGUAGCGGUGAAAUGCGUUGAUACCAGGAGGAACACCCAUGGCGAAGGCAGGCUACUGGGCAUUAUCUGACGCUGAGGCGCGAAAGCGUGGGUAGCAAACA
rnacentral:rRNA from 1 species